rnacentral:rRNA from 1 species
GACGAACCGUGCGAACGUUAUUCGGAAUCACUGGGCCUAAAGCGCGUGUAGGCGGGCCGGCACGUCCGUCGCUGAAAUCCCCCGGCUCAACCGGGGAAGCGGCGCGGAUACGACCGGCCUGGAGGGGGGUAGGGGGAGCGGGAACUGCCGGUGGAGCGGUGAAAUGCGUAGAGAUCGGGAGGAACACCAGCGGCGAAGGCGGAGGCCUGGACAGGAACUGACACUCAACUACGAAAGCGUGGGGAGCAAACAGG